GAUGAACGCUGGCGGCGUGCCUAAUACAUGCAAGUCGAGCGAACGGACGAUAAGCUUGCUUCUCUGACGUUAGCGGCGGACGGGUGAGUAACACGUGGAUAACCUACCUAUAAGACUGGGAUAACUUCGGGAAACCGGAGCUAAUACCGGAUAAUAUUUUGAACCGCAUGGUUCAAAAGUGAAAGACGGUCUUGCUGUCACUUAUAGAUGGAUCCGCGCUGCAUUAGCUAGUUGGUAAGGUAACGGCUUACCAAGGCAACGAUGCAUAGCCGACCUGAGAGAGUGAUCGGCCACACUGGAACUGAGACACGGUCCAGACUACUACGGGAGGCAGCAGUAGGGAAUCGUACGCAAUGGGCGAGAGCCUGACGGAGCAACGGCGCGUGAGUGGUGAAGGUCUUCGGAUCGUAAAACUCUGUUAUUAGGGAAGAACAUAUGUGUAAGUAAAUGUGCACAUAUUGACGGUAACUAAUAAGAAAGCAACGGCUAACUACGUG
rnacentral:rRNA from 1 species